ACCACCAAUAGAGAAUCGAGCUCCUUAUUAUAGAUACUCUGGCUCUCUAACCACUCCACCCUGCACUGAAAAUGUUACUUGGAUCCUACUACGAGAGGUUUGCAUCAUCUUUAACUUACCUAUUAUGCUUGCCUCCUUUGCUAAGCUCUGCCUCUUUAUCAAUCAAUUCAUUGUGGUUUUAGGUGAGGCCCGUAUCAGAAGGACAAGUAGACCUGCUAAGGGCUGCUUUACAUUAUGUAAGUUGGCUGAUUGAGAAUUAUCAUAUUCAAUGCAAUGCAAUUACAUUAGAUUACUUAAAUAUCUUUGUAGCUUGCUGAUGGCCGACGAAAUGGUCUAUUUUGUGUUCAAUUACCUUUCUGCAGAAGGACAAUGCAAGACCAAUUCAACCAAUCAACGGACGCAAGGUCUACUUGUACAAACCAUGGAUACACGAAGAUCAUGCGAGUCCUAUUGCUACAUAAUUACUUUGAUGGGAAAAUCUUAUUCCAAACAGCAAAUAAAAUAACCAAGAGUUUAGCAUACUUUGUUGCUCUGCUUUUAAAAUCUGAAAUAAGGUGUUGUGGCCCUACGUUGAAGGCCAGCCGCUUAAAUAAACAUUUCAGUCCAUGGUACAUAGUGAUCGUAAUGCAAUGUAUUCUCUUUUCUUGUAUCAGCUAUUUCUUUCUUGUGCACUAGUUUGUAACCUUGGAUACCAUCAGAACGAUCGUUAUUUGCUGUAUGAUAAAUGAUUUGCUAUUUGGUGAAGAAUGACUUGCACAAACGAUGUCAACAUAUUUUACUAGUUAUAAUGCACAUGUCUAUGUACGUGUGUAUCAAAUAAAAUAUCAUAAUAAUUUCGUGUAUAAAUUAUUAUGUUGAAAAUCCAUUUAUUGCUAAUGGCACAUACAAAGACAGAAAACCUAAUUUGAUGCGGACUUGAAAAAUAGUACUUGAGAUAGAAAGGCUAGGAGGAAUGAUAAAAUUAUAUAUAGCCUCGACUUAUAUCUAGUCUGACCUGAUCCGAUUGCCACCUCUAGGACUCAAUUGCUACCAAGUCAAUAGCACCCAUCUCCUUCUGCAACAUCAAUAAAAGAAAUUAUGUGAUUUGUGGGCGCCCUAUUGUAUUGCUCUUUAGAUUAACGAAACCUAUACAUGCUGGCCGAUUAAGCCUAGAAAAUAUUACAGAUAAAAAUGUUCCAAUUAGAGAUCUUCUGAAAAAAAGUAGUGAGGUUAUAAAUCAUAAUCUGGAGGAUGAAAUAAUCAUAACCGAUCAUGAUCUGGCUGACAAAAACUAGAUCGGAUCAGAUACCUUGCCAAAGGCAAUGAUGAUCCUGGAGGAGUCUAUUUAAAUUAGAGGUAAGAUGGACACAGGUUUGUGACUUUCUUUGCAUGUGCCUACCACUAUCAUAGAGCAAAUACCGAUUCCUGUUAUCACUUGCAAUGCAAAUGCUGAAUCUAUUCAUCACGUGUUUGUCACCUGCCCAUUCUCAAUGGAAGUUUGGAAUGCUGUCAGCUUUUGCCUGAAUGCAUCGGUUCCUCCACCCAGGCUGGACUUCUCAUAUCAAAACCGGACUUCACAGUCCUUUCCGGAGGACCAACAGCAAAUCAUCCUCAUGUUCAUCUCCUCUUUUUCAUGGGCCUCGUGGAAAGAAAGAAAUUCUAGGAUUUUCUCGAGGAAAUCUUCUAUACCUGUUUCAGUUGCUCAGAAUGGUCUCAACAUGCUCAAAGAUUGGUCCGUCCUUUAUCAGAGCAAACACCUCAAAGUUUGGACAAAAAUCAAGAACAUCAGCACUAUCUUAAAGGAUUCAUGGUUCCAUAUACAGCUUACUACUUGAAAAAUCCAUCCCUAGCUGUUUGAAGUGGCUGAUCCUCUUUGUUUUUCCUGCAGAGCCUUGAGUUUUCACAACAAGAGAGUGUUCAUCACCUCUCUGGUCUUUCACUACUCUAUCCCUUGGAUGGACCUCUCUUCUCCAUGAGCCUGCUGCUACUUAUUUCUUUUGUUGAUUGUGAGACAACAUUGUUAAAGAAUCACUUUGCCCUAUUCUCUUAUAUAUAGUGCUACGUAAAUAACUUCUUUCAGUAAAAAAUUUGGAUGGCUCUUUUUUAGCCUCCCUUAUCAUCAAAAAAAAAGAAAAAGUUAAAACUUGUUGCAAUCUCAAUUUUACCAUAUUCGCUGAGAAUUUAAUAUCUUGGUGCCUAUAUGUCAACUGAAAUCUUGGAAACUCUUAGUUCUUCCUAAAAUUUCUGCACCUUCUAUUGCUGUUGAGAUAAACACAGAUCUAUGUACAUGACAAUUGAUACGUAUUAAAUUUCUGAUAUCAGCUUGAUAUUACCAUGACCUUCAAUCCCAUUUAAGAAUACAUCCUUGAACUUUGGCUAACUCUUUGGGAAAGAGUUUUAAUGAAAAUGAUGGAAAAAAUAUUGGACACCUCGACCUCAGGCUAUACUGACCUCGACAACCUCGGCCUCGACCGAAGAGAGCAACUUCGGUCCCGAUUGAGGAGCUAACCGAUCAAAGUGAGCAACUUCGUCUCUGACUGAGGAGUCCAUUCAACACGUGCCAUCAGGGACUGACAGUCCUAACAACCGAUGGCCUUGGCAGCCCGUAGUCAUGACAGCACUAUAGUCUGCACCCAACUAGCACUAAGAAUAACUGGAAUUGAACGAGCAAACGGAGGCUGAAAGCAUGCCGUCCACACGGACUAGCUUUCACGCUGCGGCUGUACCAUCGGCCAUUGCCUGGCCGUCUUUGUUCUUCACAUCAGUCCAGAUAACGAAAAAAUACUCUCUUAUAUAAAGGGGCAACUCGAGAGAUCUCAGGAAUGAGGUAGAAAGCCUCUUUUUUAAUGACUCUGUCAAAGUAACAAGACCAUUAUUUCUGACUUUUUGAAGGGGUCCGACCUAAAUCGACUAUCACCCUCGCUUUCCUCAUCUUUGCUUAUGGUGCCGUCUUUUGAAUUAGAAGAAAUGCCAUGCGUUUGAUAACAUAUUACUAUGGAAGUCGAAGAGGGGCAGCUCCUCUUAGACUUCUCAACAGGUAGUCACCCUCAGAAAAGAAAAGGGAAAACAUGCCAAUUUAACAUUUGUGACAUCAAUUGGGGCCUUUGGAUCUAUGAUUUCAAUGAUUUAUAUGUAAGACUAUCAAAAGUUGUGAUGUCUUUCAAAUUUUUGAGUAUAAAAUAACCUCCUAAAUAUUGGAAUUUGCAUGAAUUCCUUUCCAAAAUUGAUAUUUGCAUGUAUACUAUUAUAUAAUACUUGUUUUGCAUGUAUAUCCUUCUGAUCCUUUUCUUUUUUGUAUUUGCACCCACAUCAUCUAAUGCCAUUAAAAAAUUUGUAGUUUAAAAUUGAAAUGACUGAAGUACCUUUAAUGGAUAAAUAUGAAGAAAAAAAUAUUUAUAAGGGUGUAUAUACAAAUAAAAAUUUUAUGAGGGUGUUCAUACAAUUUCACAUAUUUAGGAGGGUAUACACGCCAUAAAAUUCUUAGAUUUUUUUACAUGAAUAUCCUCCUAAAUAUUAAAAUUUGCAUGAAUACCUUCCCAAAAUUAAUAUUAGCAUGGACACUUUGACAUAACAGUUUAGUUGAUAUAAUUAGACAAAAUCAUAUCUAUCUAAAUUAUAAAUUAAUUAAAUUAUGAAAUUACCGCAAAAGUAGGUAACAGGUUAAUGGGUCUUGUUGAGAACUUACCAAUUCCAUUGAACUUCCUAUCUUUGCACGCGAUCGCUCUCUUCCGCUUAAGAUCGCCCUAAUCCCUCUACCUUCUUUGUAAAAUUUUGCAAUCUCUUUCGAUCCCUCUCUUUCACUCUUCCAUCUAGAAUCAAAACCUUUUUCUUGACUCCCUUUACCAUCAACAACCCUUCUCUAUUGACCCCUCUUUUUUUUCUUUUAGUGUGUGAGAUUUGUAAUAUUUAUCUUUUAGAACCAAAAAACUUCUUGUGUGCAAGUAGGUGGCUGAUUUAAAAUUAUUGUAAUAAAAUGAGUCUCAUAGGUCUUUUUCUUCUUUCUGAAAAUCGAAGCUCCAAACAAAAAUAGCUUAAGCAUAAGGGGUGGCCUUUUAUCAUAUGAGUGCAGAGGUUGUUAGUUUGAAGGAUUUUGAAGUCCUUCAAUGGCUUUGCUCGGGGACGAUUAAUAUUUUUCUUCAACCCAUAAGGACAGCAGUAGUAAGAAAGCUUGAUUAUUGCAAUCUAUUGUGUGCCUUUAAGAGAUUCUAAUCUAUUUCUAUAUUCUGAUUUAUACCAUCACAGAUGCAUCUAUAACAAUAAAUAUUACAAGUUGAUUUUCGAUUAAAUGAGACAUAAUGGUUAUUGUAAAUGAUUUAUGGUAUAAAAUACAAUCAUUCGGACAACUGUGUAUGUUCUCGUGUCCAAGAUCCAAUUCGUUUACUAGUUUCUUGGCUUUAUAAGAAGAUGACGGCAAAGUAACACCUUCCGAAAAUGCAUUCUUUAAUAAUUGAAGUGGCAUAGUGAAAGACUUGCUAGACCACCCAUUCAAAUAUUUUAAAUAAAAUAAAUGCAUAAAAAAAGAAAUCUUCAACAAAUUCUUUCCAUGCGGAUAUAGUUUUUGAUCUCAAUCUUUCAUCAAGUUAUGAUACCGAGUUAUGUCAUCAUUAGAUGAAUGUAUAGAUUCCUCAGCAUGCAUACAAUUAGUAAAUGUACACUCAUCACCUAUUGUACCUGCUUCUUGUUCUCCACUGAAAUCUACUAUAUUUUCUAUACCAUGUCCAAGAGCAUAUCUGAGUAAGGCCCUUAUAUCAUCUUCUCCUACAGAAUUUCUUUCCAUGUUACUGGAUCCAAAACUAGAGGUGUUUCUAUAUAGGAGGCUUGGUUACAUGGAGAUGGCAAUAUGGACUCUCCAUGAAAAAUCCAUUCAAUAUAACCCUUUAGAAAACUAUUUCACACCAAAUGUUCUUCAACAGUUUUUGGAGCGAAAGAAGAACAAUUUAUACAUUUUCAACAUGGACAUAAAAUCUUUUCGUUCAUAUUAGAUUUCUCAAAAGCAAAUUUAAUAAAAUUCUGAACUCCAUUCGAAUAUUCUUUGCUGGAUCUCAACUUAUUUAUCCAACUUUGGUCCAUUUUAUUAGAAUACUGAUUGUAUUGCAACUUAUUUACAAAAGAUAAACGAAAUUAAAUAUUUAAUAUUACAUUCCAAAUGAACAACUGGUCUUCUAAGAUAUGAAGGCAGCAAAAGCAUUACCAGAUCCUACAAUACAUGACCUAGACUUGUUUAGUGGUGGAUCCAUGGUGAGAUUGCUCAAGGUAGAAGGUGGACUCAACAUCUCAAAAAAGUUUCACCCUUAGCUAAGCCUACUUGGGAAUCAUGCUGAGAAUACUUCAGAGAUAAUCAAGUUUAUUCCUCUUCAAUAAUAUAUCUAAGAAAGGUCUCUUCUCUAGAUUAUCUUAUUACUCUUCUUAAACAACAUAUUCAUUCAAUUUUGGCAAACAAAAUUAUUAAUCAGGUUUUCUAGCUAUUUUUUUAGAGGGGAAUACGAGCAAUCUAGACAAUUUUCUAUUUUUUUCCAAGAAAUCUCUCCUCAGCGUAUGCGUUGAGGAGAAUGGUGCAAGCCGGCCGAACCAUAUUGCAUCGCACGUAUAAGACCCGAGCAAUGGACUAAUGCGGCAAUCUCAAAUUAAAUGGCUGCUAGUCUCUUUUCAUAAGAUCAGGAUUGUGUUGAGGGCAAGAUUUGUGAAUGAGAAGACCGGAAUACUUUUAAAAAUCUGAAUUGGUGAGCACAUCAAAUCCAGCAAAUGCAUGUGCAACCCAGCAAGAUUCAUCAAGCACACCAAGUGUUAGAUAUCUAGGGGAAGCAGCAACCAUUGUUAAAAUCCAUGCACGAUUUAAGUAAAACUAAAUAUUUGAUCAGUAUUAAAAGCAACAGUCGUUAUUAAAUCAAGUUCCGUGGGGAUGCGAUUAGCAAAAAUUCAACUUUGGUAAACAAAAAUUAUUAAUCCAGAAUUAGAGAGGAAAAUCAUGCAAUGAUAUAAACGAGGCCGCAAUUAAUUUAUAGAGGAGUGGGUUACCUAAGAUCUGUGGGCUGGCUUUCUUUCUCGUCAAUGGAGGAUGACAGUCGGCUAGAGUUUGGAAGAAGACAGUGGAACGGCGGUGGCUAUAGGCAGGGAAGGAGGAUGGAGAAAGAGGAGGAGGAUGCAGCUAUGCUCCGAUAGUGGGUUCUCUGGAGACGGAGGCCGGAGAAGGAGGGGGAGGAUGCAACUAUGCUGGUGGAGGACUCUCUGGAGGAGGAGGAGGAUGAAGCUUUGGGGGAUUACUCUCGGGAGGAGGAGAAGAAGAAGAAGGAGGAGGAUGAGUAGGGCUCGUCGAUUUGGGGCUCCGCUCUCUGGGGUUAGGGAUUUGGGGGGCUUUCGAGGAUUUAUAUCCAUCGUCUUGUUCUUGCUCUUGGAUUCCGAUGGUGUUUAAUUGCGCCGUCUAAUACCACCGACACUUCUGUGUUCUGG
rnacentral:lncRNA from 1 species